GAGUUUGAUCCUGGCUCAGGACGAACGCUGGCGGCGUGCCUAACACAUGCAAGUCGAACGGAGUUAGACGCUGAAAUGACGAUAGCUUGCUAUUUGAGUUUCUUGUCUAACUUAGUGGCGGACGGGUGAGUAACGCGUGAGUAACCUGCCCUUGAGAGUGGAAUAACGUUCUGAAAAGAACGCUAAUACCGCAUAACAUAUCACUGUCGCCUGGCAGAGAUAUCAAAGAUUUAUCGCUCAAGGAUGGACUCGCGUCCGAUUAGCCAGUUGGCGGGGUAAAGGCCCACCAAAGCGACGAUCGGUAGCCGGACUGAGAGGUUGAACGGCCACAUUGGGACUGAGACACGGCCCAGACUCCUACGGGAGGCAGCAGUGGGGGAUAUUGCGCAAUGGGGGAAACCCUGACGCAGCAACGCCGCGUGAAGGAAGAAGGUUUUCGGACUGUAAACUUCUUUUAUUAAGGACGAAACAAAUGACGGUACUUAAUGAAUAAGCUCCGGCUAACUACGUGCCAGCAGCCGCGGUAAUACGUAGGGAGCAAGCGUUGUCCGGAUUUACUGGGUGUAAAGGGUGCGUAGGCGGCAAAGCAAGUCAGAUGUGAAAUGUAUGGGCUCAACCCAUGACCUGCAUUUGAAACUGUUUUGCUUGAGUGAAGUAGAGGUAGGCGGAAUUCCCUGUGUAGCGGUGAAAUGCGUAGAGAUAGGGAGGAACACCAGUGGCGAAGGCGGCCUACUGGGCUUUAACUGACGCUGAGGCACGAAAGCGUGGGUAGCAAACAGGAUUAGAUACCCUGGUAGUCCACGCUGUAACGAUGAUUACUAGUGUGGGGGGUCUGACCCCUUCCGUGCCGCAGUUAACACAAUAAGUAAUCCACCUGGGGAGUACGGCCGCAGGUUGAACUC
rnacentral:rRNA from 1 species